CAUGCAAGUCGAGCGGAGUUUUGAAAAGCUUGCUUUUCAAAACUUAGCGGCGGACGGGUGAGUAACACGUGGGCAACCUGCCCUUGAGACGGGGAUAACUCCGGGAAACCGGAGCUAAUACCGGAUAACACAUAUCUUCGCAUGAGGAUAUGUUAGAAGGUGGCUUUUAGCUACCACUCAAGGAUGGGCCCGCGGCGCAUUAGCUAGUUGGUGAGGUAACGGCUCACCAAGGCGACGAUGCGUAGCCGACCUGAGAGGGUGAUCGGCCACACUGGGACUGAGACACGGCCCAGACUCCUACGGGAGGCAGCAGUAGGGAAUCUUCCGCAAUGGACGAAAGUCUGACGGAGCAACGCCGCGUGAGUGAUGAAGGUUUUCGGAUCGUAAAGCUCUGUUGUUAGGGAAGAACAAGUACCUGUUGAAUAAGCAGGUACCUUGACGGUACCUAACCAGAAAGCCACGGCUAACUACGUGCCAGCAGCCGCGGUAAUACGUAGGUGGCAAGCGUUGUCCGGAAUUAUUGGGCGUAAAGCGCGCGCAGGCGGUUCCUUAAGUCUGAUGUGAAAGCCCACGGCUCAACCGUGGAGGGUCAUUGGAAACUGGGGAACUUGAGUGCAGAAGAGGAGAGCGGAAUUCCACGUGUAGCGGUGAAAUGCGUAGAGAUGUGGAGGAACACCAGUGG
rnacentral:rRNA from 1 species